AAUAGUUUCUCUGCCAUCUCCAUUAGUGCAGAUUUGGGGAAUGUGCAAAGCAUAGGCUGGCAGAAUUGCAUUUCACCAGUUGGGUUGUGUGCUGCUUGAAAGAAAAAGAGAAAGGAUGUUGAUAAGUUUGAGGCAGCUGUUGAAGCUGGUCAUGAUUUUUCCUUAGCCGGCACUGCCAUAUGUGUGUGUAACUUUGUAAGCAUUUGUGUUGCGUGUAAAAAAUACUAAGUUGAUUAUACAUAAAAAGGACUCACAAUUGCUUAAAUUAUG